GAUGAACGCUCGCGGGAGGCCUAACACAUGCAAGCCGAGCGGUAGAGUUUCUUCGGAAACUUGAGAGCGGCGCACGGGUGCGUAACACGUGUGCAACCUACCUUUAUCUGGGGGAUAGCCUUUCGAAAGGAAGAUUAAUACCCCAUAAUAUAAUGAUUGUCAUCAAUUAUUAUUGAAAACUCCGGUGGAUAGAGAUGGGCACGCGCAAGAUUAGAUAGUUGGUGAGGUAACGGCUCACCAAGUCAAUGAUCUUUAGGGGUCCUGAGAGGGAGAUCCCCCACACUGGUACUGAGACACGGACCAGACUCCUACGGGAGGCAGCAGUGAGGAAUAUUGGACAAGGGGUGAGAGCCUGAUCCAGCCAUCCCGCGUGAAGGAGGACGGUCCUAUGGAUUGUAAACUUCUUUUGUACAGGGAUAAACCUACUCUCGGGAGGGUAGCUGAAGGUACUGGACGAAUAAGCACCGGCUAACUCCGUG
rnacentral:rRNA from 1 species